rnacentral:rRNA from 1 species
AAUCCCUAAAAGACCAUCCCAGUUCGGAUUGCAGGCUGCAACCCGCCUGUAUGAAGUUGGAAUCGCUAGUAAUCGCGGAUCAGCAUGCCGCGGUGAAUACGUUCCCGGGCCUUGUACACACCGCCCGUCACACCAUGAGAGUCGGGAACACCCGAAGUCCGUAGCCUAACCGCAAGGGGGGCGCGGCCGAAGGUGGGUUCGAUAAUUGGGUGAAGUCGUAACAAGGUACC